AAUGAACGCUGGCGGCGUGCCUAACACAUGCAAGUCGGAUGUGCCAGCAAUGGUGCAUGGCAGACGGGUGAGUAACGCGUAGGGAACCUACCUCUUUGUGGGGAAUAACGCUCCGAAAGGAGUGGUAAUACCGCAUGAGAUCAGCGACUGGGAUGUUGUUGAUGAAAGCUGGGGAUCGAAAGACCUAGCGCAAGGAGAGGGUCCUGCGUCUGAUUAGCUAGUUGGUGAGGUAACGGCUCACCAAGGCUACGAUUGGUAGCCGAACUGAGAGGUUGAUCGGCCACAUUGGGACUGAGACACGGCCCAGACUCCUACGGGAGGCAGCAGUGGGGAAUAUUGGGCAAUGGGCGAAAGCCUGACCCAGCGACGCCGCGUGAAGGAUGAAGGUCUUCGGAUUGUAAACUUCUUUGAUCAGGGAAGAAAGAAAUGACGGUACCUGAAGAACAAGCCACGGCUAACUACGUGCCAGCAGCCGCGGUAAUCU
rnacentral:rRNA from 1 species